rnacentral:lncRNA from 1 species
CUCUCUCUCCCUCCCUCUCUCUCUUUUUCUAACUCCCCCUUUUUCUCCAAAGCGACUCUCCUCUAGGUUCUCGCCUCCCCCUACUGGGUUUAAAAGGCUUGUAGGAAAAUGGCGGGUCUGUUUCCUCUUUUCAGAGGAUCCUCCCAAGAUUUACAUGGACGUUGGGCUGGGGCGACAAACACACGCGGAUCUCCGUGUCCUUGCGCACAAACUUCAAGAGCAUCUGGAGUCUGGACAGCAGCAUCAGUUUGAGCACAGGAAAACAGUUAGGAGGAAACUAAGCUGGCUGCCGUGACAGACAACACAAUCUGGAGAGAAGAGAAAAGGCAUUUUCAUGUGCGCUGUAUUCCACACAGAGGCCAGACACCCGUCACUGACACACUCCUGCUUCUUCACACUCCUGCUUUUCACCUGCCCCCAUGACACAGGAUUAGAACAAAUGCUGCUAUCCGGGCUCAUGCUUUUAUUUUGGAGUCAGUCAGUCAGUCAGUCUGUCUGUCCGUCCGUCCGUCUGUCCGUCCAUCCAUCCAUCUAGUAUAAACACUUAUUAUUUAUAGUUAUUUAACAGUUUCUGUAUUUUGUGAUUCACACGUGUUUUCCAUUUAAUUACGGUUGUAAAUUGCAUUAUGAGACCUUGAUCUCUGCUCUUUUGUCUUCUGAUGUUGAUAAUUCAACUCUUCAGAUUAACAAAGUGAGUUUUAUUGACAUUUUAGUAGUUUUAAAUAUCAUAAGAACAACUAUAUAAAGAAAUAAGUCUGUAAAAUGCACUGGUAGUUUAUUACAAGGUUUUUGUACCACAUACAACAUCAACCUAGAUAACUUUAAAAUAUUAAUAAAUGUCCUUUUUUUUCCAGACUUUCAAGGUUAAAAGUAAAGACUAAGGUCCCAUUAAAGCUUAAAUAAAUGGGGAAAAAAACAUGAAUCACAAAAUACGGAAAACAGCAAAUUUACAGAUUUUUUUAAAAAGUAUAUCUAUCUAUAAUCAUGAAAAAAAAACACGAAAAUGCUUUGUGUUGCAACAAAAGCAUAGAGCCUCAUCAGGCUAAAUGAGAAUUGAUCAAAUGUCUUCAAAAAACAAAGUUAAAAACAAAUGUAAGAAAGAUUAGUUAGUUAUUUAGUUGGGAC